rnacentral:rRNA from 1 species
AAUAGAUACCCAGGUAGUCCACGCCGUAAACGAUGGAUGCUAGCUGUUAUAGGUAUCGACCCCUGUAGUAGCGAAGCUAACGCGUUAAGCAUCCCGCCUGUGGAGUACGGUCGCAAGACUAAAACAUAAAGGAAUUGACGGGGACCCGCACAAGCGGUGGAGCGUGUUGUUUAAUUCGAUGGUAAACGAAGAACCUUACCCAGGUUUGACAUCCUUGGAAUUUCUCCGAAAGGAGAGAGUGCCUUAUUGAGCCAAGUGACAGGUGAUGCAUGGCCGUCGUCAGCUCGUGUCGUGAGAUGUUUGGUUAAGUCCAUCAACGAGCGCAACCCUUGUGAUUAGUUGAAUUUUUCUAAUCAGACUGCCCUGGUAACAGGGAGGAAGGAGGGGAUGAUGUCAGGUCAGUAUUUCCCUUACAUCUGGGGCUACAAACACGCUACAAUGGCCGGUACAAAGGGCAGCCAAGUCGCGAGACGGAGCAAAUCCCAUCAAAGCCGGUCUCAGUUCGGAUUGCAGGCUGAAACUCGCCUGC